rnacentral:tRNA from 1 species
GGGGAUGUGACUCUGUGGUAGAGUGCUUGCCUAGCAUGUAUGAGACCCUGGGUUUGAUCCCCAGCAUGACAA